GUUGUUAAGAAGGUGCUCAUGAGUUUUAUAUUGUGGCAUGGUAUUGAUACCAUCAGAAAAGCAUUAAUAGGGUCAACUCUGUCAAUAUAUCAGCAGAGUAUAAAAUAUUUUUUUGUUACAACUGAAAAGUAAUGAUAUUACUAUUUGUGAAACUUCUUAUAAUAUAGGGGGAUUACAUGAUAAGCUUUGUUGGGGGUAAACAAAAAUCCUUAAUUGGAUCAAAAUGUAGAGGUGUAUACUGUUUUAAGUGAUAAAAAAUAGAAGGGACAAGAAAAAGAUUUUAUUAUGUUUUUCUUCCUUUCCCCCCCCAAAAAUAGGCCUUUCUUGCUUAACCUUGAUUUUAAGACAUAGCAAUCCAGCUGGGUCAUUUUGUCAGACAACCAUCUUACAAAUUCAAUACCUUAUCAACACGGAUAGAGUUUUCUAUGCAUCAGAAAUACAGAUCUUUUUUUUCUCAUCUUCCUUUUCUAGAUUCUCCAAUUCUGAAUGACACUCCUAUGGUAUUCAUAUUCCACUCAUGGGCAUAAUCCUAACGCUUAUCACUUACCAAAUGUUUUGGCUUUGAAUUUGAAAUGAAUUGUAUCUUCUGAUUAAUGCUGCAUAUUCAUAUCACUGAAGUUUUGUUUUUCUAAUAGAGCCUAUGUAUAUCAUGUGGUUUUAUUCUUUAUUAAAUAUUAGUUGACCAUAAAGUUGAAACGAAAUAAAGGGAGUCAUAGGGAUAUUGAGUGGCGGAUCCAGAAUUUCACUAAGGGGGUUCGAAAAAUAAAAAUGUAGUGCUUGGAAUUUGAAUUUGGAACCUCAAAGUAAAUUUUAAACCCCCAAAACCACUGACUCAACCUAUAGUCUUGUGUUCAGAGGAUUCAAAAUCUGUAUAUACACACUAAAAAUAAAAGAAACACCUUGAAUAUACGGUGUAAUUUUUUGCCGACGGAGUUCGGGUGAACGCCCUCGCCCCUGGGGAUAUUACUAUUGCAGUUUACGAAUCACGUGUCUUUCUUUGUUUCGUCAGGACCUAUUAUUUUCUUACAACAUUGCAGUGGAUAGAUCCAAUGAGAUGACGAAAGUGCUGGGUAAAUCUGCUGCAAGUGUGGGUCUCCGCCUUCCUGAUGUUUAUCAGUCUUGAAAGUUGUGAUUCCAAAUUCCUAUUGGAUGUCUCUUUUCCAGCAAUGUGGUUGGGAUCUGAAAAUACUUUCUUUUUGAACCUCUAAGGAAUAGUUCAACCCAGUGCUACUAUGGCAAAUUGAGUUUAAGAGCACAGAUUGCUAGUUGGCUCAUUUAGAUAGAAUUUAAUGUUUUGGAAUCUGCAAUGCUUGUAAUCUUCUAUUUCUACGACUCACAGGCUUUUGAUUAUACUUGGGUGGUUGUAUUGGAUGGUGAAGUGAAAUUGAGUAAUCUGGGUGGUUCAUGGGGGUUUGGAUCUAUGAUGUUACUGGACAUUGUAAUGGUUCUUGUUCUGCAAAGAACUCGAUGUAUCUUGGUUUGAAUGUGGACCUUUCUCUGAUAAUUAACCCUUGUGAAAUGUGAAUAGUUUUCUUGAA